GUUCGUUAACAGCUUUCAACAUGCGAGCACAUGAAUUUUUGAGUCGUUUUCCAAAAAUAUUAUUUAUUGAAUGCGUGAGCGGAGGAGAGGCAUAAAUAAACACUUUUUCCAUGUCUGCUCUACACAAAUACGAUCUAAACAAACUUCGUUUUCCCUUAUUUUAUAAUAGAAAAAACAUUAAACAAUGAAACUUUAAUUUGUUAUAUCUCUUAAACGAAUGCCGUCUCCCACCAAUUUCUUGCGGGGAAUUUAGAAAUACCUCCCUUACAACAUAUUUAAGUGGCAAUACAAUCGGAGGUGUGUAAUCUUUUAUACAGUUUUACCUUAAUUUGUAACGCGAAAUAAUAAAAUUGAUAUAAUAAAGUGCGCCUUGCGUACGUUUAACGUGUCGUGCGACUAUCAUAUUCGUAAUUAACCGUGUUUCCGCGAGUCUGUAUAGUGCCAUGUGAGUGUGUGAAAGAGCAGCAAGAUUGAACAGGAGAGAAGAGCCAAAGGUCUGAAAAUACAACAAUGGAGCACGACAACCUUACGGGAUCAACAUCGUAGCCGUAUAACUAUGAUUUUACAAGUGGUUCAUCGAGCACAAAAUUGUAUCUCUUACAUUUACAACUUACUUUUGAUAGAAAU